ACAGUGGGGUAAUAUGCGCCAGAAAACACAACAGUAGCAAUAUAAAAAUUAUGUAAAAAUUUAACAUCAUUAAUGACCUCCCAAGUAUCACUUGUUAACAUACGCCUAGGAUCAGUACAAUGUGCAUUAGCAACUUCAGUUAUAGGAAAUCUAUAUUUGUAGCAACAUUUUAUUAAUAUAUAUGUAUAAUUCCAUCUAGU
rnacentral:lncRNA from 1 species